AUGAAGACUUUCCUGCUCCUCUUUAUAUCACUGGCCUGCUUGUCAGGUGUCCAGUCUCAGCAACUUGUCCAGUCAUCAGACCCAGUGGUGAUAAAGCCCGGGAAUUCCUAUAAAGCCUCAUGUACGGCUUCUGGAUUCACCUUCAGUAGCCACUGGAUGAACUGGGUCAGACAGAGUCCUAGUGGAGGAUUACAGUGGGUUGCUCGGAUUAGUAGCGAUGGAGGCAGCACAUGGUAUCAUGAUUCUGUUAAAGGACGAGUCACAAUCUCCAGAGAUAACAGUAAUAACCUGUUAUAUCUACAAAUGACCAACAUGAAGACUGAGGACUCUGCCGUGUAUUACUGUGCUAGGGACAUUGAUUCCGAAUCCUUUAAUCUGUGGGGAUCUGCAUAA